AUCCAGCUGACGAGUCCCAAAUACAACUAAACGCCCGUCCUGGAU
rfam:Schistosoma mansoni strain Puerto Rico chromosome 1, complete genome